GAAUGUUGACCUCGAAUCAGGUAGGAAUACCCGCUGAACUUAAGCAUAUCA
rnacentral:rRNA from 1 species